rnacentral:tRNA from 1 species
GCCGGAGUGGCGAAACGGGUAUACGCAGGGGACUCAAAAUCCCCCGGCCGGCAACGGCCGUGUCGGUUCGAAUCCGACCUCCGGCACCG